GAGGGUAUAGCUCAAAUGGUAGAGCUCAUGCUUAGCAUGCACGAGGUCUUGGGUUCAACCCCCAGUGCCUCCU
rnacentral:tRNA from 1 species